UGCAUCAAACCAAAUUUAAUUCUCCCUCAUUGUGAAGUUUUCGUUGAGGGUAUCUUUUUAUAGAAUGUAAAUAAUGACAAACAGAACUGGAGAAUUUUAAAAAGCACAGUGAGGAACAAUACAAAGGUUCUCCGACUGAACUCUCUCACAUCUGGCAACACUUGGCUCACAAGACAGCUCUCGAUUACCUUUUGAAUGUGAAGCAGGAUUUCAAAGUCAGCCGGCAAGAGUGCCUGGAAAUCCCUUGGGUGUUGUGACAAGAGCUGGUAAUGUAUUUGGCAUUCAAACUAUAAAUCAUGCUUCCAUGACUCUUUUGCCAUGGAAGGAUGUGCAAGAGACAUCCUGCUUCUCACUUGUGUACAUAUUUUCUAUAUGGUUGAUCAGAUUAUCUUUCCUGUUUCUAGCAAGUUUGGCUCUGUUAAACUUGCUGCAAUCUAAGCCAAUAAUAUGCUGUUCUUAUGCAACUCUUCUGCAUAAUUAAAUCAACAUAAUUUUAUUUAAAUUUGAA